rnacentral:misc_RNA from 1 species
UUGUAUGGAGUACCUCCUUAUGUUCCAUAUGCUCCAUCUCCGUAUGGAGCACCUCAUCCAUAUGCUCCACCUUCGUAUGGAGCACCUCCUCCAGUUGCACCUUUAUCUGUUGGAUCCAAAAACCAAGCUGAGGAAAAUCCUGUGCCGAAGGAAAAGUGCCCCAAAAGGCUAGAUUGGACGACUACCGACGAGAAAAAGUUGGCCAAUGCUCGGAUUAUGCAUUCUAAUGAUCCCAUCUCCGGCAACAAUAAGAGUGAAUCAAGUUUCUGGGGUCAAAUAGCGGUAGCAUAUAACUCCAUCUCCGACCCUCUCCGUCGUCAAACCGGCAAGCAACUUAAAGAUCAUUGGGUCACCUACAACCGGGAGGUGACCAAGUUCAAUGGAUACUACCUCAAAGAAGAAAGGUUGCGUCAGAGCGGAACAAACGAUGCAAUGGUCAUGGAGGCAGCAGUGGCGAGGUUCGAGGGUAAAAUGGGGCAUCCAUUUAAGCACCAUCACUGGUGGCAAGUUGUUCGCCACGAGCCCAAGUGGUCAGCAAAGCAUAGUCUUGGUAGUGGAUUUGACACGACUGUGAAUAAGAGAACCCGAGUCGGAGUAUCUGGUGAAUAUAGUUCUGGAGGCACUGAAGACACCGAGGAGGAAGUGCCUCGACCAGUGAGGCGUUAUAGUGCAAAGGCAGCUACGCGAAAGACAAAGACGAAGGGGAAAAGGAAGGAACCCACGAGCAGCGGAUCAACAAGUGAAGCAUUCAAAAUGAAGAACAUGUGGGGUGGAUUAGUGAAGGCCAAACUUUUGAAGCAAUGGAACAUCCUAAAGGGCCGAUCAACCAGGGAUAUGAACCCGGCUGAAAGACGUAUCCAUGCCGGAGCUGUAAAGAUGGUCGAAAAAGAAUUUGGUUUGGUAGAUGACAAAGAAGAGAAAUCGGAAGCAGGACGUGAAUAG